GACGAACGCUGGCGGCGCGCUUAACACAUGCAAGUCGAACGGAAAGGCCUGCUUUCCCUUGUGGAUUGCGGGUACUCGAGUGGCUAACGGGUGAGUAACACGUGAGUGAUCUGCCCCCAACUUGGGUAUAAGCCUGGGAAACUGGGUCUAAUUCCCGAUAGGACUGCAGGGUGGUGCCUGUGGUGGAAAACGAUUUUCUAGUGUUUGGGGAUGAGCUCGCGGCCUAUCAGCUUGUUGGUGGGGUAAUGGCCUACCAAGGCGGCGACGGGUAGCCGGCCUGAGAGGGUGGACGGCCACAUUGGGACUGAGAUACGGCCCAGACUCCUACGGGAGGCAGCAGUGGGGAAUAUUGCACAAUGGGCGGAAGCCUGAUGCAGCGACGCCGCGUGGGGGAUGACGGCCUUCGGGUUGUAAACUCCUUUCGACCGCGAGGAAGCCACCUGGUUGGAAGGGUGGUGACGGUAGUGGUAGAAGAAGCACCGGCUAACUACGUG
rnacentral:rRNA from 1 species